rnacentral:rRNA from 1 species
UAGAUCAGAAGCGAGAAUGUUGACAUGAGUAGCGACGAACAGGGUGAGAAACCCUGUCGCCGAAAGUCCAAGGGUUCCUGCUUAAAGCUAAUCUGAGCAGGGUAAGCCGGCCCCUAAGGCGAGGCCGAAAGGCGUAGUCGAUGGGAACCAGGUUAAUAUUCCUGGGCCAGUGGGAUGUGACGGAUCGCAGAUGUAGUUUGCCCUUAUCGGAUUGGGUGGGCUGCUGAGCGGUUCCAGGAAAUAGCCCCACAUCAGACCGUACCCUAAACCGACACAGGUGGACUGGUAGAGUAUACCAAGGCGCUUGAGAGAACCACGUUAAAGGAACUCGGCAAAAUGCCUCCGUAAGUUCGCGAGAAGGAGGCCCCAUAUGUACGCAAGUAUGUGUGGGGGGCACAAACUAGGGGGUGGCGACUGUUUACUUAAAACACAGGGCUGUGCGAAGCCGUAAGGCGACGUAUACAGUCUGACGCCUGCCCGGUGCUGCAAGAUUAAGAGGAGGGGUGCAAGCUCUGAAUUGAAGUCCCAGUAAACGGCGGCCGUAACCAUAACGGUCCUAAGGUAGCGAAAUUCCUUGUCGGGUAAGUUCCGACCUGCACGAAUGGCGUAACGAUCUCCCCGCUGUCUCUAACGUGGACUCAGCGAAAUUGAACUGUGUGUCAAGAUGCACACUACCCGCGGUUAGACGGAUAGACCCCAUGAACCUUUACUCCAGCUUUGCACUGGUAUCAGGAUUGUGAUGUGCAGGAUAGGUGGUAGGCAUUGAAGCGGGGACGCCAGUCUUCGUGGAGCCUCCCUUGAGAUACCACCCUUCGCCAUCUUGAUAUCUAACCGCGGCCCGUUAUCCGGGUCCGGGACCCUGCAUGGUGGGGAGUUUGACUGGGGCGGUCGCCUCCCAAACAGUAACGGAGGCGCGCGAUGGUUGGCUCAGACCGGUCGGAAAUCGGUCGUUGAGUGCAAUGGCAGAAGCCAGCCUGACUGCAAGACUGACAAGUCGAGCAGAGACGAAAGUCGGUCAUAGUGAUCCGGUGGUCCCAAGUGGGAGGGCCAUCGCUCAACGGAUAAAAGGUACUCUGGGGAUAACUGGCUGAUGAUGCCCAAGAGUCCAUAUCGACGGCAUCGUUUGGCACCUCGAUGUCGGCUCAUCUCAUCCUGGGGCUGGAGCAGGUCCCAAGGGUAUGGCUGUUCGCCAUUUAAAGAGGUACGUGAGCUGGGUUUAGAACGUCGUGAGACAGUUCGGUCCCUAUCUGCCGUGGGUGCAGGAGACUUGAGAAGAGUUGACCCUAGUACGAGAGGACCGGGUUGAACGAACCACCGGUGGACCAGUUAUCGUGCCAACGGUAGUGCUGGGUAGCUAUGUUCGGACAGGAUAACCGCUGAAGGCAUCUAAGCGGGAAGCCCCCUUCAAAACAAGGUCUCCCUUGAGGGCCGUGGAAGACGACCACGUCGAUAGGCCAGAGGUGUAAGUGCAGCAAUGCAUUCAGCUGACUGGUACUAAUUGCCCU